AGGCUGUGGCACAGUAAGUUUGGAGUGUUAGCUACUAUUAUCAUGGAGCUCAGUUCUAGGCUACAAAUCAGAUUGUUGGACUUCUUUAAAAGUUGGGGCAACAUACACGAACAAGGAGAAAAUUGGGAGAGGAAGGGGGGGCUUUCUAAUUUUGACUCAAUCUCCUAUUUAAAACAAAUCUGGGCUCAGCUCUCUUCUCAAGGAAACGGGGAGACUUUAAAACCACCGCCUGCAGAACACUGAAAGGUUGGAAGAGGCACAGAGAGCGCGUCCGGAGCUUGGGAAGCACUAGACCAGAGAAGAACUGGGCACGUCCCAGUUGGGUGGAAGAGCUGCCAGUCCUGGUAGGCGCACCGUGGGGACCAAUCGCCUUCGGGCUCCGCCUUCAGGGGGCGGGAGAAUCGGGACGUCCACGCGCCUUAGGCGGGGCCUCUGCACCGCUAGCUUCUCCGCCUUCAGUCCUGAGUGGGUCGGCGAGCCACAGUUGGCCAGAGCCAGGUUGCUUGACGCUUUGUUUGACUCCUCGGACACAUUCUCUGACAAAACUCCCUGAGCACAGUGUCUACUGAUUUAUCUGCCUCCUUUCUGAUGAACUUUCUUUCACUGACUUUCAGAUUUUCCUGAACAAUGCCAUCGCUGGUUCUAGACUUGUUUUUGGACACACACUGAUUGAAGAAAUCUUUGCUUUUCAGGGGCACUGGGAAUUGAACCCAGGACCUCCUGCACACUGAGCACAUGUUCUACCACUGAGCUAUACCCCAGAGCCCUUAAAUAACCCACUGAGAAAACCAAAGAACUCUGUUGCUGGAUCUUCCCACAGGUUUUACCAAUAGUUAUUUCCUUAGCUGUGUGAUAUCUGCCCUCUAUAAAGAACCCUCGUGCAUUGGCUCAUCUUGAAGGUAAAUUCAGUGGCUGAGAGCUGAUUUGGUUAGAGACAGUAAGGUCUAUGUGGUGGCAGUACUUUGGACUGGGUGUUAGACCUUGGAUCCUGUCUUUAUCACCUCUUGAUCUCGUGACCUUGAACAGGUCGAUUAAUCUCACUGAGCUUCAAUCUAGGCUGAUAAUCCGUGUCUACCAUACACCACGUUAAGAAGAGCAAAUAAGAUUGUUGUGAAAGUGCUUUGUAAAUUACCAAGUGACACAUAUAUUUUAUUAGUACUCUAUACUAUUCUUUUUCAUUUAACUGAGGUGUAAUUCACAUGUAACAUUAUUAGUUUGAGGUGUGCAAAGUAAUGAUUAUAUAUCCGUAUUCAUUGCAAAGUUAUCACAGUAAGUCCAGUUAACAUCCGUCACCAUACGUAAUUACAGAAUUUUUUUUCUUGGGGUGAGAACUUUUAAAAUCUACUUUUUCAGCAUUUUUUAAAUAUGCAGUUCAGUAUUAUUAACUGUAAUCACCAUGCUGUGCAUUAUUACAUCCCAUGACAUUUAUUUGAUGACUAGAGGUUUGUACCUUCUUAUUCCCUUUAUCCAUUUCACCUCCCACCCUCACCCCAGUCACUCUGGAUACCACCAGUCUGUCCUCUGUAUCUUCCAUAGGGUAUUCUUGACUCUAGACUCACAUCCAAGAACACACUGUCUUUUGAUGCUGUUAACUUUCAACUCUCUUUAAUAGCAGGAGCAUUAACAAGAAUUAGAUGAUAAAUAAAGCACCUGGAGUCUUUCUUGGUCUUCUGGGUCCAGAGAAUAAACAGCUGGAGUUU